rnacentral:lncRNA from 1 species
AUCAGAGUCAUCCAUUUUCAAGAACUGAAAUAUUAACUAAAAUGUUCAGCUUUUAUUUGGAGCUUUGAAACAUUGAGACAUAACCUAGGAAACCAUGAAGAAUCUUCUAAAGGGUCAAGCAAUGGAGAGAAGAGAUAUUGGUGAACAAAUUUAGGAAUGAUGGAAGUAAACUGGAGGAACAGAAAUGCUUCCAGCAUAGGUAACCCAAUGUCUUAAGGUAAGAAAGAGAGAAGAGGGAAGACAA